rnacentral:rRNA from 1 species
GACGAACGCUGGCGGCGUGCUUAACACAUGCAAGUCGAACGGAAAGGCCCUGCUUUUGUGGGGUGCUCGAGUGGCGAACGGGUGAGUAACACGUGAGUAACCUGCCCUUGACUUUGGGAUAACUUCAGGAAACUGGGGCUAAUACCGGAUAGGAGCUCCUGCUGCAUGGUGGGGGUUGGAAAGUUUCGGCGGUUGGGGAUGGACUCGCGGCUUAUCAGCUUGUUGGUGGGGUAGUGGCUUACCAAGGCUUUGACGGGUAGCCGGCCUGAGAGGGUGACCGGCCGCAUUGGGACAGAGAUACGGCCCAGACUCCUCCGGGAGGCAGCAGUGGGGAAUAUUGCAAAAUGGGCGGAAGCCUGAUGCAGCAACGCCGCGUGCGGGAUGACGGCCUUCGGGUUGUAACCCGCUUUCGCCUGUGACGAAGCGUGAGUGACGGUAAUGGGUAAAGAAGCACCGGCUAACUACGUG